CGCCUCCCAGCGCCUCGCCGACCUCCUCCCAACGCACCUCCCCCUCGUUCUCAAGAUCUGCAGGAUUUUCCAAGAUGGACAAAGCAAAUUGGGAUGCAUAUCAUACUAAAAUAUUUUGUGAGAUAUGCAAAGAAGAGACGGAGAAGCACAAUAGGCCGGGUGGUUAUUUGAGUCCCAAAGGUUACAACAAUCUCGAGGAGAAAUUUUUUGAACUAACUAAGAAAAGACGCACAAGAAGGCAAUUCAAAAACAAAUGGGACCAAUUGAAGAAAGAAUAUGCUCGGUUUAUGGAGUUAAAGAAUUCUGCAACUGGACUUGGUUGGAAUGAUAAGAUGGGAACAAUUGAAGCUGAUGAUAGUUGGUGGGACAUUCAUCUUAAGGACAUGCAAAGUGGCGGUACAUGGGCCCUCCCAACUUGAAGGAGAUGGAUGUUAUGUUUGAGAAUGCUCAUGUCACCGGGGAAACAGCCUCCAUUCCAGGAGAGAUAUCCAGUAGCUCGGAUGAUGAUGCCAUUGCGGAGGUAAAAGAGAGUGAAGAUUUGGGAACUCCU